AUGCACGAGCUCCUUGGCCCAUCUUCUGCACAUGUAGCUGUACCGGCAUCGGCUCCUCUUGUUGACACGUCGAUUAUGUACGCGAUGACUGAAGAUGCUCUGCCAGCAACACUUGCUAUUGGAGUGGAAGGAGCUACAGCUGGUGUUCAUGCAAGAUCGUCCGCUAUGUACACUCCAAUUAGAAACAAGAGGCUUUCUGUGUCUAACGUGCAUGAAAGCCCAGAUAUGGCUCCUGCUCCUUUGGUCAUUCAUCCAGAUGCUUAUCUUGUGCCGGACCCUGACUAUGGGUACUCACCUUUCGAGGUAGAGCUGGUACAAGUCCAGUACCCUGAUCACAUAUGUGAUGAAUUCUACGAGAAUGCCAUGUUGCUAUCUUGCUCUGAUGGACUUGGGAGGGUUUGGUUUGAAAGCGUUCGGCCAACUCCGUUGAAGCUAGAUGGUAACAAAAUGAAGAACCAAUACAGUUUGAAUGGAGAGAUGGGUUACAAUGGUAUGGAGGCAUGGGUUCGUGGCUUCAAUGAGAGGGAGAUUAUGAUGAUGGAGAGUGUUGGCCUUCCUCUAUGGAGGGGGAUUGUAUCGCCUGAUGUGUCACUGCACCUUGAGAAUCCAUACACUCGCGAGGCUAUGGUAACUUUGCGUGCUUUACUGUCUUCCCAGAACAUUGGAUUUCAGCUGAGGCUAUGCAGGAUGAUCAUGGCUCCUAUAUCAAUCACUAGGGAGUGGUGCAUGUACGUCUUUGACAUGAAGCUCAAAAGACUCAACGUGCUUGAUCCAGUUUAUACAGAGCACACCAAGCAUCAGUACAGAGACAAGCAUUCAUCCAUAAUUUGCAACAUGCUUAAUGGUUUGAAGCAUGUUGGGGCUAUGCUUGCUGACGGGUGGAACAUGGAUAUCUCGGAUUAG
rnacentral:rRNA from 1 species